AGCUGACCAGGAUCUUUAUUGACAGUAUAAAUGAGCAUUGGAUCAGGGCUGGAAGGAAAGCUUGUGUCUCGCCAGGAGGAUGGUUGGUCACUCCUCCCCUAACAGCCAUCUACCUGGCUGUACUGGGAAGGACUGAAGUAGAGCUCAUUUAAAAUCUCCACACCCCCAAAAACUAGCUUCUCAACAUCAGCUCUGAUGUUAUCAUCACCUAGUAGCCCUUCACUUCCUGCAGGUUCUAUUUCACAAUCGACUGGGGGCUCCACGGUUACCGUCCUGCCACGACCCACCCCGCGGGGGCUCCACGGUUACCGUCCUGUCACGACCCUCUGGGGCUCCACGGUUCCCGUCCUGUCACGACCCACAACCGGGGGCUCCACGGUUACAGUCCUGUCAAAACCCUCUGGGGCUCCACGGUUACUGUCCUGUCACAACCCUCUGGGGCUCCACGGUUACUGUCCUGUCACAACCCUCUGGGGCUCCACGGUUACCGUCCUUUCACAACCCUCUGGGGCUUAUAAAAGAGCCUUAUAAAAGAAAGUCUGACAGCCAGUCUGUAUGGUUCUGACCAGUGUGUAUGGCCCUGGCCAGUGGUUCUGUCCCUGGCCAGUGGUUCUGGCCCGUGGGUAUGGUUCUGGCCCGUGGGUAUGGUUCUGGCCCGUGGGUAUGGUCCUGGCCCGUGGGUAUGGUCCUGGCCCGUGGGUAUGGUCCUGGCCCGUGGGUAUGGUCCUGGCCAGUGGGUAUGGUCCUGGCCAGUGGUCCUGGCCCGUGUGUNNNNNNNNNNAUGACAUUCUGUGAAUACUGUAGAUGACUCCACGUCUUCAUUGCCUCCAUUUGACUUACCUAAUUAAAAGAUGACUAUUAGCUUAAGGGCAUUCUCUCGUCGCGUUGAGACAGCGAAGAGCGAUACAAAUGUCAUCUAUGGUGUUUAUGAUUGAUAGAUGUAGCUUGGCAAGGUGCUAUUUUUUUCCUAUUCUAUACAAUACAUCAUUAAGACAACUAUCUAAACGCUGCUCUAUCAUGUGUAACUUUGGGUGGAAGUCAGGCUGCUUUUAGUUUCUGGUGAGGUUGUUGCUAACUUUUAAAACAGAGAGUAGAAUGAGGUGUGUCCUAGUCCCUGAUCUAAGGCCAGUUUUGUAAUUUCUUCCCUCAAGGAUUAGGGUUAGGAUUUUAAUAGGUUCGCCGAGCUUAGAUCAGGGUAGGUUUUUUUAUCUAGAGUAAAAAGGCAUGAGGAAGAGGAGCUGAACAGAUGCGACUUUGAAACAUCUUCAUCGUCCUCUUCCUC
rnacentral:lncRNA from 13 species